CCUACGGGUGGCAGCAGUGGGGGAUAUUGCACAAUGGGGGGAACCCUGAUGCAGCGACGCCGCGUGGGUGAAGAAGCGCCUCGGCGCGUAAAGCCCUGUCAGCAGGGAAGAAAAUGACGGUACCUGAAGAAGAAGCCCCGGCUAACUACGUGCCAGCAGCCGCGGUAAUACGUAGGGGGCAAGCGUUAUCCGGAUUUACUGGGUGUAAAGGGGGCGCAGACGGCGCUGCAAGCCAGGAGUGAAAGCCCGGGGCUCAACCCCGGGACUGCGUGUGGAACUGGGUGGCUGGAGUGCAGGAGGGGCAGGCGGAAUUCCUGGUGUAGCGGUGAAAUGCGUAGAUAUCAGGAGGAACACCGGUGGCGAAGGCGGCCUGCUGGACUGCAACUGACGUUGAGGCCCGAAAGCGUGGGGAGCAAACAGGAUUAGAUACCCUUGUAGUC
rnacentral:rRNA from 1 species